AUUAAAUUGUAAUAUAAAACAAACUUUUGACCUUAAAAGUCAUAUAGAAAAAAAAUGGAAAUAUUUUAAAAGAUAUAAAUGGACUGAAAAUUCACAUAACUUGCUACUUAAAGCUCUUAUGUCAGAGCAUAUAAAAAAUGAUAUAAUGAAGUUUGAAUUAAAUGAGUAUCAGGAAAAUCAAAAAGGGGUUGAUGGUGCAACUGAAAAUUUAACUAACAUUUUUGAAAAUAUCUCUGAUAUUACUUGUAAAAUUACAAAAAGAAUUAAAAGUAAGAGAAAAAAAUAUAGACAGGUAUGGUCAGACAAUUGUGUAUAUGAGACACAAAAAAAAGAAAUAAACAGGAUUGGAAAUAAACUUAAAAAAUGUCCAAAUAAUCAACUUAAACAGAAAUAUUUUGAAUUGUUAAAAAGUUUUAAAAAAAUGGUAAAAUUUAAAAAAGCACAAUACAGAGAGAAAAUAUUUAACUCAUUAACAGAUAGUUUUGAUAAGAAACCUAAAGAUUAUUGGGAAAUACUUAAAGGAAUGAAAAACAAAAAAAUACUGGUAAUGAAGUGCCAGAAAUUUUAAAAGAUGAAGAAAUAAUUACGAAGCAUAUUCAGGACCAAGGAAAAACCCACAUUUGUAAAUAUAAAAUGGAAAGAGGAAAUAGAAAA
rnacentral:lncRNA from 1 species